GUGCCAGCAGCCGCGGUAAUACGUAGGGUGCGAGCGUUGUCCGGAAUUACUGGGCGUAAAGAGCUCGUAGGUGGUUUGUCGCGUUGUUCGUGAAAACUCACAGCUUAACUGUGGGCGUGCGGGCGAUACGGGCAGACUAGAGUACUGCAGGGGAGACUGGAAUUCCUGGUGUAGCGGUGGAAUGCGCAGAUAUCAGGAGGAACACCGGUGGCGAAGGCGGGUCUCUGGGCAGUAACUGACGCUGAGGAGCGAAAGCGUGGGGAGCGAACAGGAUUAGAUACCCUGGUAGUCCACGCCGUAAACGGUGGGUACUAGGUGUGGGUUCCUUCCUUGGGAUCCGUGCCGUAGCUAACGCAUUAAGUACCCCGCCUGGGGAGUACGGCCGCAAGGCUAAAACUCAAAGGAAUUGACGGGGGCCCGCACAAGCGGCGGGGCAUGUGGAUUAAUUCGAUGCAACGCGAAGAACCUUACCUGGGUUUGACAUGC
rnacentral:rRNA from 1 species